GACGGAGGAUGCAAGUGUUAUCCGGAAUCACUGGGCGUAAAGCGUCUGUAGGUGGUUUAGUAAGUCUAUUGUUAAAUCUUGAGGCUCAACUUCAAAUCAGCGAUGGAAACUGCUAGACUAGAGUGUGGUAGAGGUAAGAGGAAUUUCCAGUGGAGCGGUGAAAUGCGUAGAUAUUGGAAAGAACACCGAUGGCGAAGGCAUCUUACUGGGCCAUAACUGACACUCAGAGACGAAAGCUAGGGUAGCAAAUGGGAUUAGAUACCCCAGUAGUCCUAGCAGUAAACGAUGGAUACUAGAUGUUGUGCAUAAGCAGUAUCGCAGCUAACGCGUUAAGUAUCCCGCCUGGGGAGUACGCUCGCAAGGGUG
rnacentral:rRNA from 1 species